GCCUUUGUGGUGUAAUGGUAACACACUUGGCUCGUAUUCAAAAGAUCUAGGUUUGAGUUCCGGUGAGGGCA
rnacentral:tRNA from 1 species